rnacentral:SRP_RNA from 1 species
GGCGGGCUGUCUUUACAUGAUGAUGUGAUAAACCUGGUCAGGUUGGGAACAAAGCAGCCAUAUUCAUGUGUAUCAGUGUUUAAGAUCGGCCCGCCGGG